UCUCCAGACUCCUACGGGAGGCAGCAGUGAGGAAUAUUGGUCAAUGGGCGAGAGCCUGAACCAGCCAAGUCGCGUGAAGGAUGACGGCCCUACGGGUUGGAAACUUCUUUUGUCAGGGAGCAAUUGAGUCCACGUGUGGGCUUAGCGAGAGUACCUGAAGAAAAAGCAUCGGCUAACUCCGUGCCAGCAGCCGCGGGAAUACGGAGGAUGCGAGCGUUAUCCGGAUUUAUUGGGUUUAAAGGGUGCGUAGGCGGAAUAUCAAGUCAGCGGUAAAAAUUCGGGGCUCAACCCCGUCCGGCCGUUGAAACUGGGGGCCUUGAGUGGGCGAGAAGAAGGCGGAAUGCGUGGUGUAGCGGUGAAAUGCAUAGAUAUCACGCAGAACCCCGAUUGCGAAGGCAGCCUUCCGGCGCCCUACUGACGCUGAGGCACGAAAGUGCGGGGAUCGAACAGGAUUAGAUACCCUCGUAC
rnacentral:rRNA from 1 species